GGGGGCGAAACGGUUUCGACGGGGAUAGUUGAACUUGCAGCAGCGUACCGAGGUUCCUACAGGCCUCGUUAAACAGGUAGGAAAACAUAAUCGCAGACAACUACGAUUACGCCUUAGCCGCAUAAGACGGCUAACGUCCUGCCGAACUUGCCUGUCGGCUCGGAUUCAGGGCGUCAUGAAGACAGGCUGGCCACUUCCCAUGCUCCCGGAUGAGAGGUGGUAAGAAAACACGGGAUAGCACUUAGGGAAUCCUGCCCCUGGGAGUCCUUGGGUGCGAAAUAAAAACAGUGGAUACGUACGUAGAACCUGCAAGGGAAGAUUCUCGGACGCGGGUUCGACUCCCGCCGCCUCCACCA
rnacentral:tmRNA from 1 species